CCUCACUUUCCUCUCUUCUCAAUGUGUCCACGUCAGAUUUUCAUUACUGUCUGUGGGUCCCGCUUUCCGGUUAACUUGGUUGUCUGAUUCGUUUAUUUUGUCUGAUUGUUUUUGGUUUGGUUUGAUUUACAUAGACAUUUUGGGUUAGACUUCUGUAUUUUGUUUUUCUAAUGAGUUAAGUAAUGGGUUGGGCUUAUGUGUUUUGUUAUUAAAUUAUUAAACGAAAACAUUGCGUUUUACUUUUAUUCUGUAAGGCAUCGUCGUUACCUUCUUCCAUUGUUGAAGUCGCUGCCUUUGUUUCUCUAAAUAUGCAAAGCAAACGAUUUGCAUCUCUUUCCCUUCCUCGACUGUAAAUGUAUCUUAAAUUCGAGAUUAAGUGUUGUGUUAAUUACAAUAGACUCUGUAACGUUUCGGUAUUCUUCGUCUGGUGAUUUCUUAUAAAUAGGAGAUGGAUGAGGCUGUGACUCACAGCCUGUGACGCUCGCUAGCAAUCACUCUCAGUUUAAAUUUGUUCCUUCAGCUUCCAAAGAAUCUCAGAAAGAUGUCUUCCUCCGCUGCCAUUGUUGCCCCAACAUCGUUCGACUAUCUCCGCCUGGGUAGAUAUUCUUAGUUCAUCGUCGCUCGCCUUCUGCGGUUUUGGGACUCCAGAAACAUUAAAAAACAAGGUGAAUUCAUGGGAAUCACCUUAAUUUUCCUUGAUGAGCAGAAGAGGAAAUACAGAAGAAUGAUUCUGAGACUGAAUUCUCCAGCAGACAUAGAUGACAAAGCUAUCACGACAUAAAAACCUGAAGAUGUGGUUGUGGCCUUUGCUGAAGCAGCCAAGAUGAGAUACUACUGAAACUGGGAGGUGAAAGCAUGUUUUCUUUGGAUCCUCAACUAAUCUUAUCGAUUAGUGAGUACUGCACACUGUUAUUGUAUUCAAAGGUGUCAUCAGAGAAAAACCAAUCGCCUAGGAAGAAGCACCCAAAUCUACCCUGCAAUGGCUGUGGACAAGCUGUAGAAAAUGACGUACUUCCAGAUGGACAGAGUGAAGAGAGGGGAUAAUGUCUAAUACAUGGCCUACGCAAUGGUAGGGAUAACUUAUAUGCAGAAAACGUCAAGCCAGAGAGAUGGCCAAAGGACGUUAUUCAAAUUCAUAAGCUUUCAUGUUUGUGUACUCUCUCACGGACAAUCACUUAGUGUGGUUAAGAGUAAAGACAUUGUCCUCUGAUAUGUUUUCUUUUUUAAUUGUGUAUGUUGGCUGGUCCAAGAAUUUAUCUUCAUAAGGAUUUUGAUACAAGCAAAUGAACUACAAAAACACAUGCAUUUGCCAACAUC